CAUAAAGCUUUUUAAGAACUUCCCUCUGGCAAGUAAUUCACAGCUGGCCUCAAAGGAGGCAUUACUAGCCAGGAGGAGGGCAAGGCAAGAGAUGCUAAAAGAUGAUCUGAUUUAGGGCUUUGUCAAUCAGGCCUUAGUGGUUGGGAUGAUACGAGAUAGACUCGUGUAUUCCCCAAGCUGAAAUCUCUUGAGCCCAAACCACUACUGGCAGUGAAUUAACCAUCUGCUAACCGUGGUGAGGCACUGCCUGGAAGAGUGCAAGCUGGACCAGGCCAAAACCAUAUCAAAGACUGCAUCCGUAAUCUGCGGUGCAAAUGAGCAUGGACACCUCUCAGGCUCAUACCCUGACUGCUUUCUGUUCACUGGUGCACACACACAGCCAGAGCAGCCUCUGCUUGGCUUGACAAGCAGAGGGCUCACAGGAGACCUGUGGUGGACACAACACCUGGCCCAGCUCUGUGGGCCCUUUGGACUGCAGGGACUGGAGUUUGGAGCACUGGACAAGGCACAGAGGAUCAUGAUCUGGAGGACAGUCUGCCUGCAACUACUGAACCCAUGUAUCCACAGAGCAACGUAAACCCAAACACCUUAAACAAAGAGGAAACUGGAACUGGGGCCAGUAAACAGCAUGUCCAAAAGGAAGAGAGUCCUGGGAGGCAAGGAAAAUCAAAGUGUCCCUGUCUGAUUCUCACCCUCCUCCUGGGCUGAGCAGCACUGACCCUGCCUUGCAAUGAGAUGAAUCCCCAGAGGUGGACCUGCAGUUGGUGAGAAAUUAGAUGUCAUGAUGAAAAUGGAAGGCUUAGGAGAGAGCAGGGGUCAAACGGAUUAUUCUCCUCAUGUUGCUUUCAGGUUUUCUGUUCAGAAAAUCCCCUUCCAGGUAUCAGCAAGGCAAGUCAGAGGUGGUGAAGGCAGUUUCCACUCAGGUCAGUGCUUCCCAGCUCCUCCCUCUCUGCCUCCUACGGGCCUGCACCAGAAAAAACCUGCCUGUCAUUUUGUGUGGAUUACUCCACAGCAGCUUGCCAUUUGAAAUCACACCGGCAUAGUUCAAACAAGCGAGGUUAGAUGUGCUCCUGCGUGGACUCUGGGCACUGGUUCUAAAUAAUGUGGCCCAAACAACUCUAUCACGUGAGGAGAUGCAGCUGUUUCUGGGUUACCUUCAAGAAAACAGAGGUGCAGAGGGGUUAACCAGGAACAGAAUCUGGGCCCUGACUUCCAGAGUCCCAGGAUUUAAAAUAAUAUAUUAGCCUAAUAAUGGAAAAACUGAUUUUAAAAAAUAAAAUAACAUAAAAUAAAAUAAAAUAAAAUCAAUCUUAUUAUUUCAGUGCAUCCCAGCAUUAAGAUCUCAGCAUCCCAAUACAUAAUUUUCAUUGCUUAUUAUUCCAUUUUCAAACAGUCUCCCUUGCACUGAAAAUAUGUUAUUGCUACAGAAGAAAAUCUAUUGCCUACAAUAAAAUAAAAUAAUAAAAAAAAAGGAAAAGACUUUUAUAGUAUUUUUUAAUUAAAUUCUCCCAUGAAAUCUCAGAUAGCUGUGCCAAAGCCACUGCUGUUGUUACAAGUGGAAGUUGCCACUACACAGACAUGAGUCUGCCUGGUCUCUGAAGCGGUUGGUCUGCUCAGUGAAAAGAAGCAUAUCUAAUAGAGCACCGUGUUGAUUUGUAAUUAGCACACAAGAAGAUCUGAUCAGGCAUCCUGUAGCAAAGAGAAAGGAGAAUAAAAACUGACGUGACAGCAGAAGA